rnacentral:rRNA from 1 species
CCCAAAAGAUCGAAUGAAAAGAUUCAUCGUCAAUAUGUUUAAUAUAUAUAAAUAUUAUGAUGUAAAUUUUUUUUUUGGCUUUAUUGUUGAUUUAAAAAUUUAUACAUAUAUUUAUUAUUUUAUUGUUUUACAUUGUCGGCGUGCACUUCUUUUCUAGUAGGACAUCGCGACCCGUUGGGUAUUGAUCUACGGCCAAAUUGGGUAGCCUUUAAUCGUUAAAACAUUAAAGACCAAUUUGUGUUUUCCUGAUCAAUUGCCCGGCGGUAUUCGUAUGGUAUUGAGUCGCAUUGAUUAUAAUUUGCGUCCUCCACCCGUCACAAGCCAGGCCAGUUAAUAAUUUUUAUAUUUAUAUAUUAAUUAUUUUGCUUAGUAGUGCGGACCUAGUGCCGUCAUUAAGCCUGUCCAGCUGUUGGUUUUUUUAGUACGGUGUUCUGGGACUGACUUUAAAUAUAAUAAUACCGGUCGGCGAUGCUACUGCUUUGGGUACUUUCAGGACCCGUCUUGAAACACGGACCAAGGAGUCUAACAUGUACGCAAGUCAUUGGGAUUUUUUUAAUUAAAA